UCUCAGGGAGUUGAGUUCAGGCUAGUCUUGUUUUUCCUCUCCUCGUAGCUCGCAGGCAGCUCGCCAGCCGUGUUGGCCGUCGGCCACCCCUCCCCCGUUUCCCCUUUUGUGCGGGCACAGGGCUUGGUAAACGCGAGCCGGGAUCGAACGGACAUGGCUUCCCAGCCUAAACGUGGGCCUCCGCUAAGCUUCAUCUACUAUGAAGGUACCGGGUCCGCUCCCAGCCAAGCGGGAUCGCUCUGAAAUUGCCAGCGAGCCACGAAAGAGGCAGGAAGAGAGACGUCCGGUUCUCCCAAGAAGGCGUGACGACCAGCCAUUGUUCUUCUCCCGCCUCUCUUGUUCCCUUUGUUUUUAUUUCUUUACAUCUUUUUCAUCUGCAACCAAAUCUGCCACGUGGCUUCCGGAGCACCUUCCACAGAGAGACUACCCCCAAAGACCAGCUGAUCUGCAUUCAACGAACUGGCCAGUUCGUUGUACCUUGUCGUCGCGUUCCAGCAUUCCUUGUUUCCACGUCAUAGAUUCACAGUAAGACCUGACCCUGCUCCAGUGACGCUCGUCCAGCGGCCGCCACCCGUCCUUGCUCCGGCGGCGCUCGUCCAGCGGCUGCCAUCCGACCACGCUCCGGCGGCGCUCGUCCAGCGGCCGCCACCCGACCACGCUCCGGCGGCGCUCGUCCAGCGGCCGCCACCCAACCCUAUUGCCUGGCCCCUGCAUUACCAUUGGGUUCGGCACCGUGGCCGUCCGCCUGAAUGGCCCUGUAAAGACCCUGGUGCUUGGCGUCCUGGACGACCUCCUGACCCGCUCAGCCAAGCACCUCACCUCGGGUGGCCUGGAUGGCCACCAGACUGACCUGAGGGGUGGACUCUGUACCCUCCUCCAGGCCCCCUUCCGCCCACCCUGGGUUGAUGUCUUUUUGGUUGUUGUUUGGGGAACGUCUGGGAUCCGUUCCUUUAGAGGGGGGGUACUGUCAUGGUCUGUGUUUUGGUUUGGGUUGUGUUUAGUUUUGUUCAAUGUUUUCCUGUGUUCCAUGUUUGUCGUGUGCUCAUUAGGUUGUUGUGUCCACCUGUUCUCGUCUACUUUGUCGACCAAUCAGCUCUCUCUAGCCACUCGUCUUGUCCAGGUGUUCCUCGUUGUCUCGUCAAUUUGUUUGUAUUUAGUUCCCUGGUUUCUUUUAGUUCUCGUCGGUUCAUUGUCGUUGUCACAUGUCUUGCCAUGUCAUUGUCGCUCAGGUAUUUCACCAGUCAUGUCUUGUUUCUUGUUUUGGGUUCACUCAAGUGUUUCUUUGUUACUUUGUGUUUAGAUUUUGGACUUUGUUAAUUUAGCAUUUAGACUUUUUCAUGAUCUUUGUUUUCCUUUGUUUUUGGAAUUAAAUAUUAUUAUUUUGAGAUUCCCGCA